rnacentral:rRNA from 1 species
GACGAACGCUGGCGGCGUGCUUAACACAUGCAAGUCGAACGGAAAGGCCCCUUCGGGGGUACUCGAGUGGCGAACGGGUGAGUAACACGUGAGUAACCUGCCCUUGACUUCGGGAUAACUUCAGGAAACUGGGGCUAAUACCGGAUAGGAAUCCUUGCUGCAUGGUGGGGGUUGGAAAGCUUCGGCGGUUUUGGAUGGACUCGUGGCUUAUCAGCUUGUUGGUGGGGUAGUGGCUUACCAAGGCUUUGACGGGUAGCCGGCCUGAGAGGGCGACCGGCCACAUUGGGACUGAGAUACGGCCCAGACUCCUACGGGAGGCAGCAGUGGGGAAUAUUGCACAAUGGGCGGAAGCCUGAUGCAGCAACGCCGCGUGCGGGAUGACGGCCUUCGGGUUGUAAACCGCUUUCAGCAGGGGCGAAGCUUGUGGUGACGGUACCUGCAGAAGAAGCACCGGCUAACUACGU